rnacentral:misc_RNA from 1 species
UGGGAAGCUAGAAUUAUUUGACCAGAUUUCUUCCGUUGAUUGAGCCAUGCACUUUGAUGCAACAGGUGUCUUAUUGCCAUUAUGCUCCUUUUCUUGUUUCAGAAAAAAUAUUAGGUUGAUGAGCCCUUCUUUGUUGAUUAGAGGACUGUAUAUACAAUGUGGUGAAUAGAGUUGUAAAUUUGUAAGUUUCUCGAAUUAAAUUAUUUGUUAUACGAUGGGUAGACUUG